GGGCGUAAAGAGCUCGUAGGUGGUUUGUCGCGUUGUUCGUGAAAUCUCACGGCUUAACUGUGAGCGUGCGGGCGAUACGGGCAGACUUGAGUACUGCAGGGGAGACUGGAAUUCCUGGUGUAGCGGUGGAAUGCGCAGAUAUCAGGAGGAACACCGGUGGCGAAGGCGGGUCUCUGGGCAGUAACUGACGCUGAGGAGCGAAAGCGUGGGGAGCGAACAGGAUUAGAUACCCUGGUAGUCCACGCCGUAAACGGUGGGUACUAGGUGUGGGUUUCCUUCCUUGGGAUCCGUGCCGUAGCUAACGCAUUAAGUACCCCGCCUGGGGAGUACGGCCGCAAGGCUAAAACUCAAAGAAAUUGACGGGGGCCCGCACAAGCGGCGGAGCAUGUGGAUUAAUUCGAUGCAACGCGAAGAACCUUACCUGGGUUUGACAUGCACAGGACGCCGGCAGAGAUGUCGGUUCCCUUGUGGCCUGUGUGCAGGUGGUGCAUGGCUGUCGUCAGCUCGUGUCGUGAGAUGUUGGGUUAAGUCCCGCAACGAGCGCAACCCUUGUCUCAUGUUGCCAGCGGGUAAUGCCGGGGACUCGUGAGAGACUGCCGGGGUCAACUCGGAGGAAGGUGGGGAUGACGUCAAGUCAUCAUGCCCCUUAUGUCCAGGGCUUCACACAUGCUACAAUGGCCGGUACAAAGGGCUGCGAUGCCGCGAGGUUAAGCGAAUCCUUUUAAAGCCGGUCUCAGUUCGGAUCGGGGUCUGCAACUCGACCCCGUGAAGUCGGAGUCGCUAGUAAUC
rnacentral:rRNA from 1 species